rnacentral:tRNA from 1 species
GGGUCAGUCGUAUAAAGGUCAUUACGGAAGGCUGUUAACCUUCUUAUCGUGGUUCUCGAGUCCACGCUGUCCCGCCA